CAGGGCAAGUCUGGUGCCCGCAGCCGCGGUAAUUCCAGCUCCAAUAGCGUAUAUUAACGUUGUUGCAGUUAAAAAGCUCGUAGUUGAAGUGAGGGAGUGUGUGUUGUGAUCGAAUCGAUCGAGAGCAGUACAACCUCCCCCUUCCAAUGGGUGUAUUGGGGUAUUCAUUUACUUCAUUACUCCUUUGGUCGUUUACUGUGAGAAAAUUAGAGUGUUCAAAGCGGGCGUUUGUUUGAAUAGAUUAGCAUGGAAUAAUGAUUGAAGGCUUUCGUGUUCGAUUUGAUUGGUUUGUUCAUGGAAGCAAGGUUAAAAGGAACAGUUGGGGGUAUUCAUAUUCACUAGUUAGAGGUGAAAUUCUCGGAUUUAUGGAAGAUGAACAAGUGCGAAAGCAA
rnacentral:rRNA from 1 species